rnacentral:rRNA from 1 species
AUUGAACGCUGGCGGCAUGCUUUACACAUGCAAGUCGAACGGCAGCGCGGGCUUCGGCCUGGCGGCGAGUGGCGAACGGGUGAGUAAUGCAUCGGAACGUGCCCAGUAGUGGGGGAUAGCCCGGCGAAAGCCGGAUUAAUACCGCAUACGACCUGAGGGUGAAAGCGGGGGACCGAAAAGCCUCGCGCUCUUUGAGCGGCCGAUGUCGGAUUAGCUGGUUGGUGGGGUAAAGGCUUACCGAGGCGACGAUACGUAGCUGGUCUGAGAGGACGACCAGCCACACUGGGACUGAGACACGGCCCAGACUCCUACGGGAGGCAGCAGUGGGGAAUUUUGGACAAUGGGGGCAACCCUGAUCCAGCCAUGCCGCGUGCGGGAAGAAGGCCUUCGGGUUGUAAAACGCUUUUGUUCGGGAAGAAAUCCUCUGGGCUAAUACCCCGGGGGGAUGACGGUACCGGAAGAAUAAGCACCGGCUAACUACGUG